GCAGGGGAGAGUUUGAUCCUGGCUCAGAGCGAACGCUGGCGGCAGGCCUAACACAUGCAAGUCGAACGAACUCUUCGGAGUUAGUGGCGGACGGGUGAGUAACACGUGGGAACGUGCCUUUUGGUUCGGAAUAACUCAGGGAAACUUGUGCUAAUACCGAAUGUGCCCUUCGGGGGAAAGAUUUAUCGCCAUUAGAGCGGCCCGCGUCUGAUUAGCUAGUUGGUGAGGUAACGGCUCACCAAGGCGACGAUCAGUAGCUGGUCUGAGAGGAUGAUCAGCCACACUGGGACUGAGACACGGCCCAGACUCCUACGGGAGGCAGCAGUGGGGAAUCUUGCGCAAUGGGCGAAAGCCUGACGCAGCCAUGCCGCGUGAAUGAUGAAGGUCUUAGGA
rnacentral:rRNA from 1 species